UACGUAGGGUGCAAGCGUUUAAUCGGAAUUACUGGGCGUAAAGCGUGCGCAGGCGGUGAUGUAAGACAGGUGUGAAAUCCCCGGGCUCAACCCGGGAACUGCUUUCGAAACUGUCGUUCUCGAGUACCGGAGAGGGUGGCGGAAUUCCUGGUGUAGAGGUGAAAUUCGUAGAUAUCAGGAGGAACACCGGUGGCGAAGGCGGGUCUCUGGGCAGUAACUGACGCUGAGGAGCGAAAGCGUGGGGAGCGAACAGG
rnacentral:rRNA from 1 species